rnacentral:lncRNA from 1 species
AAGUGAAUGGGGAUUUACCUUCUAUUAACUACUCCUUACUGGUCCAUUGUGUGCUUUCUUCAUGGAGAUCGUGUUAGACCAUGCUUGAGUAUAGGACAUUUGUCCAAUUAGGAAUUGAGCUUAUGACCUAUCUAUAAUGUUGAGUAUAUGCCGAGCUUAUGACCUAUAUGGUACAACUUCCAUUCAAAAUGCAUUGAAUUAUAAAUAUAAUGAUGUCUCAAAACUUAAACAAAUGACAAAGCUAGUACUACAAAGCUACAUUACUACAUUCAACAGUUUUACAAGUCUUCAAACUUCAAAAAUUGCAACUUCAAUAGGCACAAAAAAACUAAUGAAAUUUUCAUAAUAGAAGCAACCCAAAAUACAUUAACAUAGUCUUCUAAUCUGAAUUCAGAUAAGUUAUAGUUACACACUACUACUCUCUACCCAUGUUGCAAUUUUACUACCCUUUACACAUGCUGCAAUUUUGCCACACAAAACACGCCUCCAAAGAAACACAACAACUAAGACACCAAAGCCACACUGAAUAGAAUUUGUCCCUUCUUUUCGCACUUACGUUUUUUUUUUUUUUUUUUUGCAUCCUGGAAGUCCUCUUCUUGUGUUCCUCCAUUGCUACCACAAUAAGCUCAUCAAUGUUGCCAUCAAUUUGAUCAGCCCAACGGAAGUGAUUAUAGUACAUACCCAUUAACCCCCUCAACAACGUUAACCAAAGAAAACUUCAAUAAAAAAAUAUGUUCAGACAAAUUAAAAACAAGAAAAACCAAUUUCACCUUCCAAUUAGGGCAACCCUAGAAUAAGUGUCCAAGAUUCUUAGAGCUAUGCGAAAUAACAAGCACCUCCCUGUCCUCACACAAGCAUUUUUUCCAUCUAGGAAUAACGGGUGUCAGAGAUGAUGCUGACGACACACUGCCAUCAACUAAAGAGAAAUCUCUCAAGGUUGAUGAAUCUACUCUUCGAUAAGGAGGCAUGGUGAUAGGUGGAGACUGGUGAUGGCCGAAAAAGCUCAAUGGUUAGGGGUGGUGGUGGGACUCAUGAUUGAGAGAGAAGCUCAA